ACGCACGCUGGCGGCGUGCUUAACCCAUGCCAGUCGAACGGUAAGGCCCCUUCGGGGGUACACGAGUGGCGAACGGGUGAGUAACACGUGAGCAACCUGCCCUUGACUCUGGAAUAACAGUUGGAAACAGCUGCUAAUACUGGAUAUUCAUCGUCUCCUUCCUGGGGGGUGGUGGAAAGCUCCGGCGGUCAGGGAUGGGCUCGCGGCCUAUCAGCUUGUUGGUGAGGUAAUGGCUCACCAAGGCUUCGACGGGUAGCCGGCCUGAGAGGGCGACCGGCCACACUGGGACUGAGAUACGGCCCAGACUCCUACGGGAGGCAGCAGUGGGGAAUAUUGCACAAUGGGCGCAAGCCUGAUGCAGCAACGCCGCGUGCGGGAUGACGGCCUUCGGGUUGUAAACCGCUUUCAGUAGGGACGAAGGGUGACUGACGGUACCUACAGAAGAAGGACCGGCUAACUACGUG
rnacentral:rRNA from 1 species